AAGGAGUCUAACAUGCCUGCGAGUGUUCGGGUGGAAAACCCGUGCGCGUAAUGAAAGUAAAAGUUGGGAUCCCUGUCGUGGGGUGCACCGACGCCCGGACCAGACCUUUUGUGACGGAUCUGCGGUAGAGCAUGUAUGUUGGGACCCGAAAGAUGGUGAACUAUGCCUGAAUAGGGUGAAGCCAGAGGAAACUCUGGUGGAGGCUCGUAGCGAUUCUGACGUGCAAAUCGAUCGUCAAAUUUGGGUAUAGGGGCGAAAGACUAAUCGAACCAUCUAGUAGCUGGUUCCUGC
rnacentral:misc_RNA from 1 species